UAGGGAAUCUUCGGCAAUGGACGAAAGUCUGACCGAGCAACGCCGCGUGAGUGAAGAAGGUUUUCGGAUCGUAAAACUCUGUUGUUAGAGAAGAACAAGGACGUUAGUAACUGAACGUCCCCUGACGGUAUCUAACCAGAAAGCCACGGCUAACUACGUGCCAGCAGCCGCGGUAAUACGUAGGUGGCAAGCGUUGUCCGGAUUUAUUGGGCGUAAAGCGAGCGCAGGCGGUUUCUUAAGUCUGAUGUGAAAGCCCCCGGCUCAACCGGGGAGGGUCAUUGGAAACUGUGAGACUUGAGUGCAGAAGAGGAGAGUGGAAUUCCAUGUGUAGCGGUGAAAUGCGUAGAUAUAUGGGGAAACACCAGUGGCGAAGGCGGCUCUCUGGUCUGUAACUGACGCUGAGGCUCGAAAGCGUGGGGAGCAAACAGG
rnacentral:rRNA from 1 species